rnacentral:rRNA from 1 species
AACGAACGCUGGCGGCAUGCCUAACACAUGCAAGUCGAACGAGACCUUCGGGUCUAGUGGCGCACGGGUGCGUAACGCGUGGGAACCUGCCCUUAGGUUCGGAAUAACUCCCCGAAAGGGGUGCUAAUACCGGAUAAUGUCUUCGGACCAAAGAUUUAUCGCCUUUGGAUGGGCCCGCGUUGGAUUAGCUAGUUGGUAGGGUAAAAGCCUACCAAGGCGACGAUCCAUAGCUGGUCUGAGAGGAUGAUCAGCCAUACUGGGACUGAGACACGGCCCAGACUCCUACGGGAGGAAGCAGUGGGGAAUAUUGGACAAUGGGCGAAAGACUGAUCCAGCAAUGCCGCGUGAGUGAUGAAGGCCUUAGGGUUGUAAAGCUCUUUUACCCGGGAUGAUAAUGACAGUACCGGGAGAAUAAGCUCCGGCUAACUCCGUG